rnacentral:ncRNA from 1 species
UGCGCAGCGCGUGCUUCACGACGAUGUUCGGGAAGGACACGCCUUUCAGCCGCGCGGUGCGGAUGUACUGUGCUGUCAUCACCUCGGUCAUCGAGGCGCGGGUCAUUCGGGCGAUGUAGCCCAUCCCAUACAGCGCGAUGGUCAGCACCGGCAGGAAGAAGUUCUCGAAUGUGGGAUUG